UAAGAGUUUUUAUGAGUACAUGGAAAUGUAUCUAGGUGGAAGUAAUGGCGUAUUUGUGAAAACUUCUUUAAUUCCACUAAAAAAAAAAAAGAUGAAAAAAAUAAAGAUGGUAAUGAAGAUAAAGAGAAAAAAAAGAUGAAGAAGAAUGCCUUACAAAUUCUUAUGACCAGCAAUAAAGAUGUCAAAGUUUAUGAUGAUGAUGAUGAUGAUGAUGAGUAGUAAUUCUUGAGUGAAAAAAAAUAAGCUUUAAAGGAAAAGAAGCUUAGAAGAGAGCAUAGAAUACAAUAAGAUGAAUCUUCUUUAAAUGAAAGGAGAUAUUCUUUGAGAAAAAAAAAGACCAUGUAGCAAAUGAUGGAAAAACCACAUCUUUCUUUAAGUAAGUGAUGAACAUAUAAAUAUUACUCUUCGUACUGAUCU
rnacentral:lncRNA from 1 species